GAUGUAGGUGGCUUUGUAAGUCAGGUGUGAAAGCCCAGGGCUCAACCCUGGAAGUGCACUUGAUACUGCGAAGCUUGAGUGGUGGAUAGGUUAACAGAAUUCCUGGUGUAGUGGUGAAAUACGUAGAUAUCAGGAGGAAUACCGGAGGCGAAGGCGGUUAACUGGCCACACACUGACACUCAGAUCCGAAAGCAUGGGGAUCAAACA
rnacentral:rRNA from 1 species